GUGGCUGGCGGCUGGGUGCCUUCUACUGGUGCUGUGCAGAGGCUUUCCCUAAGGCUGCUGUGAGCCUGUAGGGAUUCCCCCUAGGCUACUAAGCUGG
rnacentral:pre_miRNA from 1 species